UAACACUAUUCUAAUUGUUGGGACCAUUAAAUAGGUAUUUAAGCCAUUUUCUGUCCUCAAGAAUUUCAUUCAUUAAAGCAGAGAUAAAUGCGUAAAUAACUAAGUUAGGUGAUGUGUCAAAUUCUUUGCAUAUGAUUGGUGCCCAAUAAUAAUUUAUUUCAAUGGAUGCCUAGAUGAAGAGGACCCAUGGCUGGUGGAAUUUGCAAAGGAGAAAGUCAUCAGUUUUUCCUGAGGGUGUAGUUUCAAAAGCCCAGCCCGUCUCUGGCGUGUUUUGGACCUUCAGAAAAGUGAGGCAGAGUGAGUGUAGGUGGUACACCCCAAAUAUUGCAUGUUUAACUGCACGUCACAUUUAAUGGGGUGUCCAUAUCUUCACUGCUAAACCUGGCCGAAAAGCUGGAGCUGGAUGCCUGUGUCAUCUCACAAGGGCUCCGAGAGCCACGGAGGGAGCGUUGGAGAAGAACCCUUGUCCUGUCUUGGUUUGACUUCUCCCGGGACUGAUUAAAUGAUGGACCACAUAGCUUCUUCCUUCUGAGAAGCCAGGAAGAUGGUGGCUGAUGCAUAGUCAGCUGAAAUAGCUGGGCAUCAGGGCACUUUGGGCGACUUCUGCGAGGGGAGCUGGAAGGGAAGGCCCUCGUCAGGGUCGUGCCCUGGGAGGUGGGCAGUGGUGGGGCUCCAGACGUCACAGCUGCAUUUCUUUGGAACUGAGCGUGCUCGAAGGGGAAGAGUACCCUGCUUGCCUGUCCCCUUUGCUCAGGACCAUCCUGAUUUACAACUCCUGGCCCAGAAUGGUGCCACCUUUCACCCUCACGCGUAUCCUGGUUUUAGAUGAUAAAGGACACGGCCAUUCUGUGAGGUGGCCAGAGAGUCCAGAGCAUUUGGCCGCACACUUACAGGCGGGGGCUGUGCCAUGGCCUCGCAGGGCCUCCCUUUCUUCAUUUGCGAAUGAGGGGCAUUGAGCAAAACUCUCAGCUCUCUUCCUAGCGUCCACACUGUAUUGUUAAUAUAUGACUUUGGGCAGAGUUAACAUAGGAGGAUGUUUGUUUACCCUCCGUUGGAGAACGAUGUGUAUUCCAGUUCUUUAUGUCCCUGUUUGUUCAGGCUAGCAGAGUUCUGGUAGUUUCCAAAAACCUUUGAAGAGCGAAAACGUAAAACUAGUAUUUCGUCCUUGGGUUAUGACGACCACGUGCUAAACAGAGCCUUAAAUAAAUGCAGCUUCAGUUAAUAAAGACUCACAAGUGACAUUGGCUCAUUUGGGCCCAAUUGCAUAAGCAAAUUUUUAGACUUAAUAAAAAAAAAAGUAGUUGCGCAAGUGGUGGCAGAGUGCUGUGAAAUGUCCACUUUCUCACUCCUCUCUCAGGACCACACUGCUCCCCCAAAUCAGUUGUAAGUCCUUCCAGACCUUGUAAAUGUAGGCUGUUUUCAUCUUAAUUUAUGUACAUACACAUCUAAUUUUUAAAACUCCAAAAUUAUAUUUUUAGUUUUUUAGUACAUUGCUAAUAAUAUUUCUGAGCCAUUCUUUCCUAUCAUUAAUUAUGGAUCUACCUC